rnacentral:rRNA from 1 species
AGUGAACGCUGGCGGUAGGCCUAACACAUGCAAGUCGAACGGCAGCACAGUAAGAGCUUGCUCUUACGGGUGGCGAGUGGCGGACGGGUGAGGAAUACAUCGGAAUCUACUUUUUCGUGGGGGAUAACGUAGGGAAACUUACGCUAAUACCGCAUACGACCUACGGGUGAAAGCAGGGGAUCUUCGGACCUUGCGCGAUUGAAUGAGCCGAUGUCGGAUUAGCUAGUUGGCGGGGUAAAGGCCCACGAAGGCGACGAUCCGUAGCUGGUCUGAGAGGAUGAUCAGCCACACUGGAACUGAGACACGGUCCAGACUCCUACGGGAGGCAGCAGUGGGGAAUAUUGGACAAUGGGCGCAAGCCUGAUCCAGCCAUACCGCGUGGGUGAAGAAGGCCUUCGGGUUGUAAAGCCCUUUUGUUGGGAAAGAAAAGCAGCAGGUUAAUACCCCGCUGUUCUGACGGUACCCAAAGAAUAAGCACCGGCUAACUUCGU